rnacentral:tRNA from 3 species
UCGUUAGCUCAGUCGGUAGAGCAGCGGACUUUUAAUCCGUUGGUCGCGCGUUCGAGUCGCGCA